rnacentral:lncRNA from 1 species
CCUCAUUAAGAAAGGGCAGUACUGCAUACUCUCUCCUCCCUCUCCUUCUUCCUGCAUGGAGCAUUGCAGACUGCACAGAGGGGUGAUAAAUUAUUGCCACCACUGUCUUGCUUGGUCUCUGACUGCAGAGACAAUGUGGGGGCGUCACAGUGCAGCCGGCAAGACCUGCUGCUCAUCGUCAUGCAGAACAAUAGUCCCAGCAUCAUCCACUCACUCUACUCUGCAAUGACAAGCUGCCUCUGUCCCCCUCUAAGGAGAAAGCUCAAAAUACGGAAUAAAUGACAAACCAUGAAAUAUUUUCCUUUGGCUGAAAUUAGUUGGACAGCCAAGGAUGUCCCUCACCCCUGCUGCACACAUCUUAAUCCAUUCAAGGGUUAUUUUCCCAACCAAGAAAAAAAAAUGGUAAUUCCUAAAUAGACUAGUUCCCUGUAACUCAUGUUUGGUGCCUCUGGAAUCCCAAGUCUGAGAUGUAGUUACUUUUUAUUCUGAAGUCAACAAGGAUAUGAAGAUAAACUGAAGAAAGCAAACCUCAGCUAUUGGUUGCACAGCCACAUACAACACACACAAUGUCGUAUAUCGCCUUGUGCAGUGUUCUGAAGGGGCGGGUAAUUUCUAGAUAUUAACAAAAAUGCACUUUGAUCAGUCAAUCAAUAAGGUCAGUGACCCCACACUGAAUCCUGAGGAGUGCAAGAUAAAGCUAUUCUUUCCUUGUUGGUGCUGCUGUUGGUGUCAGGCUUGCAAACCUCCCCCGACCAGAUGGAUGGGUCAGACUUGUGUGCGCGCACAUGUGAGACUUUGGAAAUGACGUUCGUCCGAAGCAGUGGAGGGACACAGCUUGUGCGCUCUCCGGCCUGCUGUGGGGAGAACCGAGGAGGGGGUCCAGGCCGACGACGUCUCCUCCUCCUCCGCUGGCGCUGCUCAGCUUCACCCACAACUGAGUUAUUUAAAAUUACUGUACUUUAAUUACCGGCUCUGAGAAAACACCUUUCGAUUACGCCACUUUCAGCUUCAGCCGUGUACAACGAACAAGUCGGCCUGCUGCGCCCUUUUUCCCUAUGUCAGUAAUGAAAUAGGCCUCGUACUUCUACACUGUGCUCUCGUAAUAACCAAAAUAAUCGGCCCGAGUAAAGCGGUGGAGAGGAAGGCCAUCUUGUUGACAGGCAGCUGCACAGGAGUCCCAGCCAAUCACAGAGCAG